UACGUAGGGUGCAAGCGUUAAUCGGAAUUACUGGGCGUAAAGCGUGCGCAGGCGGUGAUGUAAGACAGUUGUGAAAUCCCCGGGCUCAACCUGGGAACUGCAUCUGUGACUGCAUUGCUGGAGUGCGGCAGAGGGGGAUGGAAUUCCGCGUGUAGCAGUGAAAUGCGUAGAUAUGCGGAGGAACACCGAUGGCGAAGGCAAUCCCCUGGGCCUGCACUGACGCUCAUGCAUGAAAGCGUGGGGAGCAAACAGG
rnacentral:rRNA from 1 species